GCCCCUUGGCGCUGCCCGGGGAGCUGCGGGCACCCGCACCGAGCCAUUGUCGCUCCUUGCUCGGUCAGCAACGGAGAAGUAACUCAAGUCUGAGUGUUGUUGGUGCGAGAAUGAGAGUGUUUUGGUGAGGGAGUAUUUUGGCCCAAGUGCCUGCGAAUUCGAAAACGAAAACCCAGCAGUAGCUGCAAGCUUUUGGUUUCCACACUUUCACACAAAGGGGAGCCUUCGAGCGGGGCACUCUCACGCGCCUUCAAGUGCACAAAAGCCAAUGACACGGUGCCCUGGGUUGCCUUGCGUAGGAGCGUCUCUUUAAUGGGCUUUCUUAGCCACAGUUAAUGCAUACAAACGCCUCAGUCUAUUCCUUCACCCCCACCGUUCUCCGCCCCAGCGUUUUCUGUAUUUGUUUCUUUAACAAAGCACUGCCUGUCCCGGUGCGCGCGGGGCUGAUUUUGCUUCUCUCCCGGGCUCCUGCAGCCUCGCCGCGAUGAACCUGGCACCUGACGCGGUAUUCACCAGCUCCUUUCUGGGCUCCAGCGUUACCAUUUUUACGGCUUCACAACCAGUCUGGAGCAAAGAAGGAACCCCGAGGAAUUUUCUUCUUUCCAGGAGGAUACUAAGAAGUAAUGAUGCCUCUCUUUUUAUGCUCAGAAAAAUCUCAGAUGAGGACAAUCACCUUUAUUUCUAUUUUCAGCAUGAGUUCUUGCUGUGAAAACGACUGACAGAAAUUAUAUCCAGGUACCUACUGCUCUGUACUUUUUCUUUCUCUUCCAGGUUCAGGAUGGCACAUUCCUAAUUCCCUCUUGACCACAAAAUGUGAGGAUCUAGCCUCAAAUCUGCAACACUUGUAUCUAAGAAACAAAUUGUUUUUAAAUUUCCAUUUAACAGAAAUACAGAUGCAGAGCCAUGUAAUCAUCAGUCUUUGAUCACUCCGCAAAUCACAGAACAAGGAACAAAUCCUAGAGGGGAUAACAGGGAAGUUUUUGAUCCUAUAGUUCAGCAACCUCAACAUGGAGCUGGAACUCUUUCCCACAUUAAUAGCAAGGCAAGCAAGUGACAGACUUUUGCUUUUUAGUCCAAUCUUUUUUAAUCAAUUAUGAAAGAUGACAAACAUACACCUCUCUUGGGAUACUUUAGAU
rnacentral:lncRNA from 1 species